GGCUUCGUAACAAGGUUUCCGUAGGUGAACCUGCGGAAGGAUCAUUA
rnacentral:rRNA from 1 species